rnacentral:lncRNA from 1 species
CCUUGUCUUACCCAGCCAGUAUUCAAGAUGGAGUCGCUUUGGUUCGAACACCUCUGACAACAUCAUUCCUCCUUAGGCCUUUUGUUUCUGUUUCCACUGAAUGCAGGAAAGAAACCAUUGUGUAAAUCCUUUUGCUUGGAACUUCACUGGAGUUAGAAAGUCACCUGUGGUGGUUAACUUACCAGUGGAGCCCAGCCCUGUCCGUCUGCCUCUGUGGCUGUCAUGUUCUUGAAGAUUCUAAGGACAGCAGCAAGCACCUGACUCCUGCAUUACAACCUCCAGUGCUGGCUUUUCUGAGCAUUUCUGUGCUAAAUGUGUAUAAUGUACAUUUCUAUGCACAUUAUACUAUAAAUUUCUUUUUACGUUUUUAUUUCAGUUGGGGUAUUGUGUUAUUUCUAAAAUCAUAUUUGUGUUAGAAUUUAUGUAUUUAUAUUGCUAUUGUUUGAAAGUAUUCCCCAAAGUUUAUGU